rnacentral:lncRNA from 1 species
GCUUCUGGUGCUGUGGGGUCUAUUCACAGCUGUUGACGUGACCCAAGAGAAAACAUUGGAGACAGGAGGAGCAGAUGCCACUCUUCUCUGCCCAAACCAAACUCUCACUGACAUCAUGACAGUAGUAUGUCACAAAAUAAGAGGUAUAAGUGAGGGUCAUGAGUGUAGAGUUUCACAAGACUUUGAAACAAAUCAUACCAACAGCUCUUGUGACCCCAGAGUCACACUGCAGAUAGAGAAUGACAGAGUGUUUCUACACAUCACCAACAUACAACCAUCUGAUGAAGGGAACUACACCUGUGAUUGUACAUAUUAUAAAGGCAGUUCUGAUAUAAACAUACAUAUUUCUGUCAAUGGAAACCAAGUGCAACAGGCCACAGACAACAGUCUCUUCUAUUGGGGGAUGAUAACAGGUGUUGCAGCAUGUGUAGCUGCCCUGGUGUUUGGUGGCGUAAUCAUGAGAAAAAUUCAUCUCAGGAGAACACAGCUACAAGUGUCUGGAACCGUCAACGAGGUGCCACAACACUGCUUGCUGUUGCCUGUUAGUCAGAUGAAGGCAUCUGGGUCCUCAUUUAUAACCGUUGUGUACAUUUCACAAUAAAUAUCUGCUUGCAUAAUUUCAGAAAAGUCUGCACACGUUCAAAAAUAUUGAGAUGUAUAAACUUGGUGGUUGCCAUACAUAAGCAUGUUUCCUGUUAUAAGUCAGACCGUCCUGAACCUGUGCGCGCGUGAAUGAGAAUCUGCCUGAAAAACGGCCUUCAUUCACCAUUUAUAGUGACAAUAACGCCUUUUUUUGCUGUGUACUUUGGAAGUACUGGAAUUAUACCAUGGUAGUUUCCAAAUAGAAAUGGCGAGUUUGAUCAAAUGUCUCUGGAGGUGUUGGCAGAAUGUUUUAAACGUUUACAGUGACAUUUGCUGUAUUUGACAAUUUCUGAAGAAAAAAAACUAUUGCAAAUUGUUGGGGACCUCUAAACAGAUUGUUUGAAUUCAAUAAUGUAUUUUUCAUAUGCUGCACUGACCUCAAAUUCUGAAACAUUGUCUACUUGGAAACAAAUGACAACUAUAGUAUAGGCCUACUUACAGUGGUAUUCCACCCAGUGGUCAAAACCUGGUUUGAAAAGACGUCAGUAUGACAUCUUUUUAUGACGUCUUAUUCUGUCGCAAACUGGAUGAAAUAGGACAUUUUUUAACAGAUUUUUACUGACCAGAAUCUGACGUCUUUUUCUGACCAACAUGUGACCAU